GUUAUAUGGUCAAGUGAAGAAGCGCAUACGGUGGAUGCCUUGGCAGUCAGAGGCGAUGAAAGACGUGGUAGCCUGCGAAAAGCUUCGGGGAGUCGGCAAACAGACUGUGAUCCGGAGAUGUCUGAAUGGGGGAACCCAGCUGUCAUAAGACAGUUACCUUACACUGAAUACAUAGGUGUAUGGAGCGAACCAGGGGAACUGAAACAUCUAAGUACCCUGAGGAAAAGAAAUCAACCGAGAUUCCUUAGUAGUGGCGAGCGAACGGGGACCAGCCCUUAAGUUGAUUUGAGAUUAGCGGAACGCUCUGGAAAGUGCGGCCAUAGUGGGUGAUAGCCCUGUACGCGAAAAUCUCUUGUCAAUGAAAUCGAGUAGGACGGGGCACGAGAAACCUUGUCUGAACAUGGGGGGACCAUCCUCCAAGGCUAAAUACUACUGACUGACCGAUAGUGAACCAGUACCGUGAGGGAAAGGCGAAAAGAACCGCGGAGAGCGGAGUGAAAUAGAUCCUGAAACCGUAUGCGUACAAGCAGUGGGAGCCCACUUUGUUGGGUGACUGCGUACCUUUUGUAUAAUGGGUCAGCGACUUAUUUUCAGUGGCGAGCUUAACCGAAUAGGGGAGGCGUAGCGAAAGCGAGUCUUAAUAGGGCGUCUAGUCGCUGGAAUAGACCGAAACCGGGCGAUCUAUCCAUGGGCAGGUUGAAGGUUAGGUAACACUGACUGGAGGACCGAACCGACUACCGUUGAAAGUUAGCGGAUGACCUGUGGAUCGGAGUGAAAGGCUAAUCAAGCUCGGAGAUAGCUGGUUCUCCUCGAAAGCUAUUUAGGUAGCGCCUCAUGUAUCACUGUAGGGGGUAGAGCACUGUUUCGGCUAGGGGGUCAUCCCGACUUACCAAACCGAUGCAAACUCCGAAUACCUACAAGUGCCGAGCAUGGGAGACACACGGCGGGUGCUAACGUCCGUCGUGAAAAGGGAAACAACCCAGACCG
rnacentral:rRNA from 1 species